UAACGGCCGCGGUAUUUUGACCGUGCAAAGGUAGCGCAAUCACUUGUCUUUUAAAUAGAGACCUGUAUGAAUGGCCAAACGAGGGCUUAACUGUCUCCCCCUCCCAGUCAGUGAAAUUGAUCUAUCCGUGCAGAAGCGGGUAUAAAUAUACAAGACGAGAAGACCCUUUGGAGCUUAAGGUACAAAGUUUAACCAUGUUAAACAACUUAUUAAAGAGCAAAAACUUAAUGGAAAAUAAGCAUUUACCUUCGGUUGGGGCGACCGCGGAGGAAAAAUCAGCCUCCGAGUGGAACGGGCUAACUACCUAAAACCAAGAGAGACAUCUCUAAGCCGCAGAAAAUCUGACCAAAAAUGAUCCGACACAUAGUCGAUCAACGAACCAAGUUACCCUAGGGAUAACAGCGCAAUCCUCUCCCAGAGUCCAUAUCGACGAGGGGGUUUACGACCUCGAUGUUGGAUCAGGACAUCCUAAUGGUGCAGCCGCUAUUAAGGGUUCGUUUGUUCAACGAUUAAAGUCCUACGUGAUCUGAGUUCAGACCGGAGUAAUCCAGGUCAGUUUCUAUCUGUAAUGCUACU
rnacentral:rRNA from 1 species